rnacentral:rRNA from 1 species
CACCAGGCGCGAAAACUUUGCAAUGCGGGAAACCGUGACAAGGGAACUCUGAGUGCCCGUUAAAUCGGGCUGUCCAUCGGUUUAAAUAACCGGUGAAGAAAGGGCCGGGCAAGACCGGUGCCAGCCGCCGCGGUAAUACCGGCGGCUCGAGUGGUGGCCACUAUUACUGGGCUUAAAGCGUUCGUAGCUGGUUUGUUAAGUCUCUGGGGAAAUCUUCCGGCUUAACCGGAAGGCGUCUCAGGGAUACUGGCAGACUAGGGACCGGGAGAGGUGAGAGGUACUCCAGGGGUAGGAGUGAAAUCCUGUAAUCCUUGGGGGACCACCUGUGGCGAAGGCGUCUCACCAGAACGGCUCCGACAGUGAGGGACGAAAGCUGGGGGAGCAAACCGGAUUAGAUACCCGGGUAGUCCCAGCUGUAAACGAUGCGCGUUAGGUGUAUCGGUGACCACGAGUCACCGAGGUGCCGAAGAGAAAUCGUGAAACGUGCCGCCUGGGAAGUACGGUCGCAAGGCUGAAACUUAAAGGAAUUGGC